AUGAUGAUUCAGUCCAAAAAGUUUAUGGUUUUCAACUGAAUACCCAUGAGGAAAGUAUUCUAGGGCGGUCUGAUAUU
rfam:Cerapachys biroi unplaced genomic scaffold scaffold356, whole genome shotgun sequence.